UGGGAUGUAGCUCAGUGGUAGAGUGUUUGUCUAGCAUGCACAAGGCCCUAGGUUCAAUCCCCAGUAUCCCCC
rnacentral:tRNA from 1 species